ensembl:lncRNA
CAGGGCUGGAACUGAAGUCUGAGGGAUGGUAGCUCUCCAGGAGCAGGGUUGGAGAUCCCUGCUCUGGGUUUUCUGUCUCAGAAUGAGAGGUUUGUCAAACCCGAGAAAGCAGGGCUAUAAACCGCACAAAGAUCAUGCCAGUAAAGUGCUUUAAAUGGAAAUGGAAUGGAAAGGCAGGUGGAAGUGAACAGGGAGGGAUCUGUCGCCCGUCUGUUCCGGUUCAUUCUCUCUAACUAGCUGUGUGUUUGUGUAACUAACUGAAUGAAGAGCCGCUCACGAGGAAUCCCAAACUUCUUUCUGCAGUUCUCCAUCAGGUCCGGUAGUAAAGAUGAGCGGAGAAGACUCAGACGUUCCUCAGGAUCUGCUGGAGACGCUUUAUUACUAUGGAUGCCCGCUGACUGUGGGAGGGGCCAGUGCAGACUCCGCCCACCACACCUGAGCACGCCUCACCUCAAGCCAAAACAGAUAAAGCCUGUUAUAAUAAGAGAUGUACAGUGGAUGCCGUUCUAUUUCUCAAUACAGGCUUAUAUAUUACAAAAUAUACAAAAUAUAUUUUUUUUUUUUCAGAAGUUGUAAAUAAAACAAGUUAUUGGAGUA